rnacentral:rRNA from 1 species
AGAAUCAACGCUGGCGGCGUGCCUAACACAUGCAAGUCGAACGAGAAAGUGGAGCAAUCCAUGAGUAAAGUGGCGCACGGGUGAGUAACACGUGACUAACCUACCCUUGAGUGGGGGAUAACCUAGGGAAACCUGGGCUAAUACCGCAUAAUAUCGAGAGAUCAAAGGAGCAAUUCGCUUAAGGAGGGGGUCGCGGCUGAUUAGCUAGUUGGUGAGGUAAUGGCUCACCAAGGCUAUGAUCAGUAUCCGGCCUGAGAGGGCGCACGGACACACUGGAACUGAAACACGGUCCAGACUCCUACGGGAGGCAGCAGUGGGGAAUUUUGCGCAAUGGGGAACCCUGACGCAGCAACGCCGCGUGGAGGAUGAAGUCCCUUGGGACGUAAACUCCUUUCGAUCGGGACGAUAAUGACGGUACCGGAAGAAGAAGCCCGGCUACUUCGCGCCAGCAGCCGC